GACGAACGCUGGCGGCGUGCCUAAUACGUGCAAGUCGAGCGGUCAGAAGGGAGCUUGCUCCCGGAAGUUAGCGGCGGACGGGUGAGUAACACGUGGGCAACAUACCCUGUAGAUCGGGAUAACAUCGAGAAAUCGGUGCUAAUACCGGAUAAUCAUUUGAAGUGCAUGCUUCGAAUGUAAAAGAUGGCUCCGGCUAUCACUACGGGAUGGGCCCGCGGCGCAUUAGCUAGUUGGUAAGGUAAUGGCUUACCAAGGCAACGAUGCGUGGCCGACCUGAGAGGGUGAUCGGCCACACUGGGACUGAGACACGGCCCAGACUCCUACGGGAGGCAGCAGUAGGGAAUCUUCCGCAAUGGACGAAAGUCUGACGGAGCAACGCCGCGUGAGUGAUGAAGGUUUUCGGAUCGUAAAGCUCUGUUGUUAGGGAAGAACAAGUGCCGUUUGAAUAAGGCGGCACCUUGACGGUACCUAACCAGAAAGCCACGGCUAACUACGUGCCAGCCGCCGCGGUAAGAC
rnacentral:rRNA from 1 species